rnacentral:rRNA from 1 species
UACGUAGGGGGCAAGCGUUGUCCGGAAUCAUUGGGCGUAAAGAGCGUGUAGGCGGCCCGGUAAGUCCGCUGUGAAAGUCGGGGGCUCAACCCUCGAAAGCCGGUGGAUACUGUCGGGCUAGAGUGCGGAAGAGGCGAGUGGAAUUCCUGGUGUAGCGGUGAAAUGCGCAGAUAUCGAGAGGAACACCUGCGGCGAAGGCGGGUUGCUGGGCUGACACUGACGCUGAUGCGCGAAAGCCAGGGGAGCGAACGGG